rnacentral:rRNA from 1 species
CAACUUUCAGCAAUGGAUCUCUUGGCUCUCGCAUCGAUGAAGAACGCAGCGAAAUGCGAUAAGUAAUGUGAAUUGCAGAAUUCAGUGAAUCAUCGAAUCUUUGAACGCAUCUUGCGCUCCUUGGUAUUCUGAGGAGCAUGCCUGUUUGAGUGUCAUUU